rnacentral:tRNA from 1 species
UCUGGAUAGCUUAAAAUUAAAGCUUAAUAUUGAAGAUAUUAGUAUAAGUAAUACUUUCUAGAUA